GCGAGGACCAUCUCGCAAGGCUAAAUACUAACCAGUGACCGAUAGUGAACCAGUACCGUGAGGGAAAGGUGAAAAGAACCCCGGGAGGGGAGUGAAAGAGAACCUGAAACCGUGUGCCUACAAGUAGUCAGAGCCCGUUAACGGGUAAUGGCGUGCCUUUUGUAGAAUGAACCGGCGAGUUGCGUUAGUCAGCAAGGUUAAGUCAGAAAAGACGGAGCCGUAGCGAAAGCGAGUCUGAAGAGGGCGAGCAGUUGGCUGACGCAGACCCGAAACCAAGUGACCUACCCAUGACCAGGUUGAAGGCGCGGUAAAACGCGCUGGAGGACCGAACCCACGUAAGUUGAAAAUUGCGGGGAUGAGUUGUGGGUAGCGGUGAAAUUCCAAACGAACUUGGAGAUAGCUGGUUCUCUCCGAAAUAGCUUUAGGGCUAGCCUCGCAAAGAGGAUGCUGGAGGUAGAGCUCUGUUUGGACUAGGGGCCCGUCAAGGGUUACUGAAUUCAGAUAAACUGCGAAUUCCAGACAUUUAUGUGCGGGAGUCAGACUGCGAGUGAUAAGAUCCGUAGUCGAAAGGGAAACAGCCCAGAUCACCAGUUAAGGUCCCAAAAUUCAUGCUAAGUGGAAAAGGAUGUGGAGUUGCGCAGACAACUAGGACGUUGGCUCAGAAGCAGCCAUCAUUCAAAGAGUGCGUAAUAGCUCACUAGUCGAGUGACGCCGCGCCGAAAAUUUACCGGGGCUAAGCAUGAUACCGAAACUGUGGAUGUGCGUUUAUGCACGUGGUAGGAGAGCGUUCUAGCGGCGGUGAAGCAUGACCGAGAGGACAUGUGGAGCUUCUAGAAGUGAGAAUGCCGGUAUGAGUAACGAAAGACAGGUGAGAAUCCUGUCCGCCGCAAGACUAAGGUUUCCUGGGGCAGGCUCGUCCGCCCAGGGUAAGUCGGGACCUAAGGCGAGGCCGAGAGGCGUAGUCGAUGGACAACAGGUUGAAAUUCCUGUACUGCACCGAAUCGUUAUGAGCGAUGGAGGGACG
rnacentral:rRNA from 1 species